rnacentral:rRNA from 1 species
GACGGAGGGUGCUAGCGUUGUUCGGAAUGACUGGGCGUAAAGGGCGCGUAGGCGGCUCGUGAAGUCGGGUGUGAAAGCCCGGGGCUCAACCCCGGAACGGCAUCCGAUACUGGCGGGCUUGAGACCGGGAGAGGAGGGUGGAAUACCCAGUGUAGCGGUGAAAUGCGUAGAUAUUGGGAGGAACACCGGUGGCGAAGGCGGUUCUCUGGGCAUGUCCUGACGCUGAGGAGCGAAAGUGUGGGGAGCGAACAGG